rnacentral:rRNA from 1 species
UGGGGAAUUUUGCACAAUGGGGGAAACCCUGAUGCAGCGACGCCGCGUGAUUUAGAAGGCCUUCGGGUUGUAAAAAUCUUUUCUAUGGGAAGAAAAUGACAGUACCAUAGGAAUAAGGACUGGCUAAUUACGUGCCAGCAGCCGCGGUAAUACGUAAGGUCCGAGCGUUGUCCGGAAUCAUUGGGCGUAAAGGGUACGUAGGCGGGUAAGCAAGUUAGAAGUGAAAUCCUGUAGCUCAACUACAGUAAGCUUUUAAAACUGCUCAUCUUGAGAUAUGGAAGGAAAAGUGGAAUUCCUAGUGUAGCGGUGAAAUGCGCAGGUAUUAGGAGGAAUACCGGUGGCGAAGGCGACUUUCUGGCCAUAAUCUGACGCUGAGGUACGAAAGCGUGGGUAGCAAACAGG